UCAAACGUACACAUAUAGAGGAAAAGCGCCGCGUCUCUGUCUCUCAGCGGUAUGGAUGUACGCGGAUCUGAGGCCUGCUGCACGCUUUGAUGUGUGUGGUGUUUAGGGUAAUGGAAGAACCAAAGACUUCAGUAAACGAACAUGAACACCAUCAGAUGUUUACAGGGCUCUUGCUGAUGGUGACACGACGGAACAGUGUUCUCCGUUUACCCGGAAAGAUUGGGUAUCAGCAUCCUGACACACCUGGAUCUACU